AUUGAACGCUGGCGGCAGGCCUAACACAUGCAAGUCGAACGAGUGGCGGACGGGUGAGUAAUGUCUGGGAAACUGCCUGAUGGAGGGGGAUAACUACUGGAAACGGUAGCUAAUACCGCAUACCAUCGGAUGUGCCCAGAUGGGAUUAGCUUGUUGGUGGGGUAAAGGCUCACCAAGGCGACGAUCCCUAGCUGGUCUGAGAGGAUGACCAGCCACACUGGAACUGAGACACGGUCCAGACUCCUACGGGAGGCAGCAGUGGGGAAUAUUGCACAAUGGGAGAAAGCCUGAUGCAGCCAUGCCGCGUGUAUGAAGAAGGUCUUCGGGUUGUAAAGCACUGUAAGUGGGGAGGCGUUACCUGCAGAAGAAGCAACGGCUAACUCCGUGCCAGCCGCCGCGGUAAUAC
rnacentral:rRNA from 1 species